rnacentral:rRNA from 1 species
UUGUCCGGAAUUACUGGGUGUAAAGGGAGUGUAGGCGGGAUAUCAAGUCAGAAGUGAAAAUUACGGGCUCAACUCGUAACCUGCUUUUGAAACUGACAUUCUUGAGUGAAGUAGAGGCAAGCGGAAUUCCUAGUGUAGCAGUGAAAUGCGUAGAUAUUAGGAGGAACACCAGUGGCGAAGGCGGCUUGCUGGGCUUUUACUGACGCUGAGGCUCGAAAGCGUGGGGAGCAAACAGGAUUAGAUACCCUGGUAGUCCACGCCGUAAACGAUGAUUACUAGGUGUGGGGGGAUUGACCCCUUCCGUGCCGGAGUAAA